rnacentral:rRNA from 1 species
UGAGUGGCGGACGGGUGAGUAACACGUGGGUAACCUGCCCUAAAGUGGGGGAUAACAUUUGGAAACAGAUGCUAAUACCGCAUAAAACCUAACACCGCAUGGUGUAGGGUUGAAAGAUGGUUUCGGCUAUCACUUUAGGAUGGACCCGCGGUGCAUUAGUUAGUUGGUGAGGUAAAGGCUCACCAAGACCGUGAUGCAUAGCCGACCUGAGAGGGUAAUCGGCCACACUGGGACUGAGACACGGCCCAGACUCCUACGGGAGGCAGCAGUAGGGAAUCUUCCACAAUGGACGAAAGUCUGAUGGAGCAACGCCGCGUGAGUGAAGAAGGUUUUCGGAUCGUAAAACUCUGUUGUUGGAGAAGAAUGUAUCUGAUAGUAACUGAUCAGGUAGUGACGGUAUCCAACCA